CGGCAUUAACAGUCCAAUGCAUGUGUACGGAUUCAGCAGGAAGAGCUACCACUAAGUGUCUUCAAAGAUGGCCCAUGUUACCUGUAUGAGAGAGGAUGUGCUCUGAAGUAGGUCCAAAGGAAUUCAAGUUCAGUGCAGAUUAAACCAUGUCUCUAACAGAACAGUUCCUGUCAUGUAGGAGUUACAGAAGAGAAGCUCCCAGAGAUGAGGCAGUAGAAAAUCUCCUGUCCAGAUUAUGAUGUACCUCAUAGCUACUUCUUUAACACCAUGAAUGAAUGCCUGACUGUCUGCCUGCCUGCCAACACACUCUCUGCAAUGAUGAUGAAGGACUAACCCUCUAAACUUCUUAGGGUCCUCGCCGACACAGC
rnacentral:lncRNA from 1 species